rnacentral:tRNA from 1 species
GGUACAAAAAAUAAAUUUUUCUUAUUUAAAUUUAGAUCUUUCCUUUACAGUACUA